AUUUGCUGCUUGUUCAAUUUGUCUUUCCUUGCCCUGUAGUGGAAAGAAGGCUGUGGCUACUGUGUUAUACUAUCUUCCACAAAAUGAAGUGUCCCUGCUGGUUUAUUCCCACUAUGUGUAUGAGCCAACGGAGAACAGGCUCAGGCAAAGACGGCAUCAGAUUCCUUCCGAUUCCGGCUCCUGCAUGCCAGGCUGUGUCCAUCAGCCCGGAGUUUGGCUUCAGCCACGCCAGGGUUUCCUCCAAUGGCCUGCAACUAGAGAGAACAAGAGGAUUUGGAAGAAGCCCUACAUGACAGAAAUGAAAUACAAUGUUUCUCCUCUUACUGCUGGCUUUAAAGGCUCGGCACACUAGAAAGCUAUGAUAAGUCAGUAAUGUCCAUGGAAGGAAAAUAAUUGAUAUGGUUCCUCUCAUAAUAAUAGUUUUAGAUCUGU